AUGGGGAUUACCAAUUCCAUGGACGUCCUCUUGGUCUUUGCAGUCCUGUUGCUCAAUGCUGAUGUCGGGUCGUGCGGCUGCUUCAAGCGCAUCUUUGCCUUUGGUGACUCCAUCAUUGGCACCGGCAACUUCCGGACAGGUUCGAUGUGGAUGCCCCCUUAUGGAGGGACCUACUUCCACCACCCCACUGGCCGCUGCUCCGACGGGCGUCUAAUCGUCGACUUCUACGCGCAAGCGUUUGGCCUGCCCCUGCUGCCGCCGAGCGAGCCCGAGGAGAAGACAGGGCAGUUCCCUGCCGGUGCCAACUUCGCCGUGUGGGGCUCGUUUGCGCUGAGCCCAGACUACUACCGGAAAAGGUAUAACUUAAGUACGGACCACGGUUGCCUCGACUCGCAGCUCGGUUCCUUCAAGACAGUGCUCGCACGGAUAGCUCCUGGAAAAGCUGCCACCAAGAGACUCCUCAGCGAGUCCCUUGUCAUCUUUGGCGAGAUCGGCGGCAACGACUAUAACUCCUGGUUCUUUGAUCCUCGGCGCAGCAGGGACACGCCCCAUCAGUACAUGCCUGACGUGAUAGCCCGCAUAGGUGCCGGCGUCCAGGAUGUGAUUAACCUCGGCGCAAAGACGAUCCUUGUUCCGGGGAACUUCCCCAUCGGGUGCAUUCCGGUUUACUUGAAUGAUCACAAGAGCAACAGGUCUUCGGAUUACGACCAGUUCGGCUGCCUCAAGUGGUACAACGCGUUCUCCCGGAAGCACAACCAGCUAUUGAGGCAGGAGGUCGGCCGGCUCAAGUCUCGCAACCCCAGCGUGAAGAUCAUCUACGCAGACUACUAUGGCGCCGCCAUGGAGUUUGUCAGGAACCCCAAGAGGAAUGGUGUCGACGACCCUCUGGUGGCGUGUUGUGGUGGCAACAGCCCAUACGGCACCGGUCGCGGGUGCGACCAGAACGCGAAGGUUUGCCGUGACCCGUCCAGGUUCGCCAACUGGGACCAGGUUCACAUGACGGAGAAGGCGUAUAGUGUCAUCUCCAAUGGGGUGCUCAACGGCCCGUAUGCGGACAUCCCAUUGCUCCAUGCUUGCUAG
rnacentral:rRNA from 1 species